UUGCAAUUUUAAUCUUCAAUUAUAUUGUUCAUCGGAAAAGUUUAACAUAAGUUUGUUAGCUAUCUUUGGCAGUCACUUAAAAGUUUAAAAGAGUUUAAGUGUAUUAAUUUCAAUGCAUUAAUUUAAUGCAAACAUAAGUGGAUACAGUGUCGAAUGCUAAAAAGCGGCGGGAUGACCAGAUAGAAGACUCACCGCCAACGAUCAUGAGAGCAUCUUCCGAGGACAUCGCUGAGACACAGCCUUUGAAGAACAAAGUUUUCACCUCGUCCGACUCCUUGGGGUGCUCCGUCAAGAAGUGCAAGAUGUGCUCCCCAACAAGACACGGCCAAGAACCACUUUCGGUUUUCAGGCAUUGCAUGUACCAUGCAUUUCAACCAAAAUUUCAAAAAAAAACUCAAAGGAUGAGAUAGAAGACUCUCCGCCAACGGUCUUGAGAGCAUCUUCCAAGGACAUCAGUGGGACAUAUUUCGCCUCGUCCGACUCCUUGAGGUGCUCCACAACAAGACACGGACAAGAACCGAUUUCGAUGACGAUGACGGCCAUGACUCUUUAAUACUUCAAGGAGAGGAACUGAAGACCAAAGAAGUUGUGCUUUUCAAGUCGAAAAUAAUCGUGACCUGGUCCAUGUUGAUUGGCGGACGAGAAACCUGGCUCUUGAUGACUCGCAACCAUCCCCACCAAUGUAUCCCUACGGAUUGCCAUCAAGUCUCUUUUGUGGUAAUCAUCGCUGGUGGGGACCACA